GCCUGGGUGGCUCAGUGGUUGAGCGUCUGCCUUCAGCUCAGGGCAUGAUCCCAGAGUCCUGGGAUCGAGUCCCACAUCGGGCU
rnacentral:tRNA from 1 species